CAGGAGAUAGAGAAAGGUUCAAGUAAGCUUCCGUCCAGUCUGGAAAAGUCAUCCUACACUACUUUAGUCUGGGACAAUAACGACUUCGGGGAAAGAACACUUUCAGGAAAAGGGACGACACAUAAUACCAAUGGGAUAGCUGUACAACAUGCACAUCUUGCUGCUGUAAUCCCUCAAGCUUUACCAGCUCAGAGUAUGAAGAAGACAAGACAACGAUCUUUGCCUGCACCUGCUACAAUACUGGUGAGAUUCACUGGCCAGAGGAAGUCAUCGCCAGAGGCAUUUGAUGAUUCUGUGGCGCUUGAGAUGAGUCAGUACGAUGAUGUUCUACAUUCUAACAAAGAAAAGGAUGCAGCCUUCUAUGUUGCAAAAUCGUCACAGGAACGACUACUGCCAUCUUGGACUGGAUUUAAUCAACUGCUUUCGUCCAAUAUCCCUCCUAAGGCAACAAUAGCUUACUUGCCAGUGAUAGAUGCAAGCCCAACAGAUUUUAACACCGUCCAUACAGUACUACACCGAAGUCUGGAGAUAGCAGAUCAGUUGGCACUUCCAGCCAUUGUGAUAGUGGUUGAUCAGGCCAUUUAUUGCAAAGCUCAAACAAUUCGCUGGCAAGAACCAACAUUUCUGAAGAAGAUAGUCAUUCGACUAGGGGCUUUCCACACAACAAUGACGGCACUCGCUUGUAUUGGAAAGCGAUUUCAGGAGGCAGGACUGCAAGAUAUUCUUAUUGAGGCAGGUGUUGUAGCUACAGGCUCAGUGACUGGUGUGAUGAAUGGCCACAACUACAAUAGAAGUAUCAGAUGCCAUAAGCUUAUGGCCGAAGCACUUCAUCGCUUGCGCUGGCAGAGCUUCAUGGGUUCCUUGGAAGAGGAGAGGCAGCAUCAGUACAGAGAAGUAGUGGCAUCUCUACAGGGAUCAUUUCCAAGUGAAUUCACCAACCAAGUUCAAGGAGAGUUGUACCAAGCAAUGGUCAAGGAGUACAAAGAUUUCAUUGAAGAAGGAAAGAAGGAUGCUACUUUCACAUUUUGGUCUUCCUAUCUAGAUUUGGUUGGAAAUAUCCUCCUGUUCAUACGUGCAACACGAGAAGGAGAUUGGCAACUGCAUCUUGCUUCAGUCAGAGCCCUGCUUCCUUGGAUGUUUGCCUAUGACAGAACAAAUUAUGCACGGUACCUGCCAGUUUAUUGGAUCGAGAUGAGCCAACUUCCAACCACUCAUCCAUACAUUUACAACGAGUUGAUGAAGGGUCACUUUGGAGUGCAACGCCAAGACAGUCAUGGGUUUGCUCAGGUAGCAUGUGACAUGACUAUUGAGCAGACAGUCAAUAGGGAUACGAAGACCAGCGGCGGUGUAAAGGGGUUCUCUAACAACCAAGGGGCGACAAACCGCUGGGUCAGAGGCCACCACGAGAGAGCCCUGAUCACAAGACAGUGUGAAGUGAUGGCUGGAAAGGGCGAGAAGUCUUCAAAAAGAGUAGACUUAACAAAAAGCAGAAUGACAAGGGACCAGCAGGAUGUAGCCAAUAUCAUGAGUACCAUCAACAGCAUGACAAAUCCCUUUGUGGUCGAUCGAGAGACAGAUGCUGAUGAUCUUGUGCAUCUCUCAUCAGGCAUUGUUGCGUCAGUCAGUGUGUGCUCAGAUCUUCUGAAAGCAGGCGAGAAGGGGGACAAAGCAUUCAUCAACUUUGCCAAAACCAGACUACAAGGAGAUACCGAUCUUAACAAGACCAUCACCAAGAUGAAACUUAAGACAUUUGCCGAUUCUGACAAGGCAAAAGUCAACAUUAAAGGGAGAGAAGUUGUGCUUAAGAGCGCCCGGGAGUUACUGGCAAGGCUCAUCAUCAUAGGCCGUGUACGCAAAGUUGACCAACGCAAGAUGCUCAGUUACUCCUUAAGCACAUACCCACCAGCCAUUUGUAAAGAAGAUGGAUGUUUGGUCAAGAACAACAAGGCUGCCCUCCUUCACCAGUUGGAAAAUUUGCCAGAGUCAUCCCCAACAGUGGAUCGUCUGCUGGAGUCAGUAUGGAUUGUUGAUGGUAUGGCAUUGCUUCAAGGCCUAAUACCAAGUCGGAUGCCUGCUACCAUGGGACAGUUGGCCAAGAAAAUCCUGAAGGAUGUAGUCUACCUAGCCAGAAGCUCCAGUUCUGAUCAAGUCCACUUUGUCACGGACACAUACCCACCUGUCAGCAUCAAAGGUGCAGAGAGAAAAAGGCGUGCUGCAAGUGGGUCGCAGCGUAUAAAGAUUACAAACCAAGACCAACCCGUUCCAAAGCAAUGGAAGAAAUUCUUAGCAAAUGGCUUCAAUAAGCAACACUUUGCCAAGUUUUUAUAUGAGUCGUGGAGUGCUUGUGGUGAGGAUGAAUUCAAGGGAGUUGAUGUAUAUCUGGCUCAUUCUGAAGAAUGCCACAAGUUAUCUUGUCGUAGUGGUACCACGGUCAGUGAAGCGAUUCCAGAGCUAUACACUACUCAAGAGGAAGCCGACACGAGGAUGAUGCUACACGCAAAGUACAUCAGCAACAUGGGUAGGAAGGACAUCAUCAUUAAGAGCCCGGACACUGACGUAUUCGUCAUUGGCAUUGGCAUAGCUGCCCAACUUGAGGGUUCCAAGUUGUAUUUCCAUACUGGCAAGCAAGAUAAGGAACGGACAAUCAAUUUGAAUGCCAUUCAAUGUCAUCUUGGAGAUCAAAUCAGCGAUGCAAUCGUAGGCCUGCACCCAUUCACAGGUUGUGAUUCCGUCAGUGCUUUGUAUGGACGGGGGAAGACUAAGCCCUUUACGCUGAUGUCGCAGACUACAAAGUUUAUCAAGGCAUUUCAGGAGCUUGGGAAAGCAUUCACCCUUACUGAUGACCUGGUUUCUACUCUGGAGGAGUUUGUUUGCAAGUUGUAUGGGAUGAAGGAAAUCAGUAAGGUGAAUGAAGCAAGAUAUGCUUUUUUUUCCAUGGCGACGAGACAAGAAGACAUGCCACCAAACAAGGAUGCCCUCAUGAAGCACAUCCAAAGGGCCAACUAUCAAACUGCUAUUUGGAGGCGCUGCCUUGAGAGCCAGCCAGAUGUUCCGUCACCAGUUGGGCGAGGUUGGCAAUCGGUCGAUGGAGGGCUUCGAAUAGACUGGAUGGAUAUGCAACCUGCUCAACAGAGCAUCCUUGAACUUACUUCAUGCAAGUGCAAAAAGUCCAAAUGUAAAGUCACAGGAGUAGAUGCCCAGUGUUGUGCGCCUUUGGGCCUUCCCUGCACAGAACUGUGUGAGUGCAAGAACUGCGACAACAUGGCUGUGCCAGGUGAGGAACCAAUCAUUGGAGAAGAAGAAGAAGCAGAAGCUGAUGAAGGUGACAACUGUGACGAUGAGGAGAACUUUGAAGAAGAGGAGUUAUUUUAACAUGUUCAGCCUAAGAUGAUGACAUGAGAACCAGGUCCCAACAUCUCCCAGCACUACAACAUGCGCUACCAAGUCCCAACAGCUCCCAGCACUACAACAUGUGCUAUGAGAACCAGUCCCCAGCAUUAUAACAUAUGCUAUGAGAACCAGGUCCCAACAGCUCCCAGCACUUCAACAUGCGCUAUGAGAACCAGGUCCCAACAGCUCCCAGCACUACAACAUGUGCUAUGAGAACCAAGUCCCAACAGCUCCCAGCAGCAUGGAUCGGCCGUAAUUACCACCGGUGACAUGAAAGAACCUAAAGAUGAUGACAUGAGAACCAUGCAGGUCCCCACAGCUCCCAGCACUACAACAUGCGCUAUGAGAACCAAGUCCCAACAGCUCCCAGCACUAUACAACAUGUGCUAUGAGAACCAAGUCCCCAGCAUUAUAACAUAUGCUAUGAGAACCAGGUCCCAACAGCUCCCAGCACUACAACAUGCGCUAUGAGAACCAGGUCCCAACAGCUCCCAGCACUACAACAUGCGCUAUGAGAACCAGGUCCCAACAGCUCCCAGCACUACAACAUGCGCUAUGAGAACCAGGUCCCAACAGCUCCCAGCACUACAACAUGCGCUAUGAGAACCAGGUCCCAACAGCUCCCAGCACUUCAAC